rnacentral:lncRNA from 1 species
GUACUGCCCCCGCAGUGCCUCUAUAAGAAGAUCCUGGAAGAGCUGCUCCAGAGGCAGGGGAGGGGCUGCUCAAUUAGCUAUGUGAAGUCUCUGGUGCAGAGGCUGUGUCCUCUCAUCCUGCUCUUUCCCCCAAGAGGGCCCUGUGGGAAAGACCUGAAAAAUACACCUUAGAAGUCCUUGAUGAGGCACCUUCCAGAAUUCAGGGUUCCAGCUGUGAAUACUCCAGCAAGAGGAAGCACUCUACCAAAACAGAGGGAGAAGAAACAACAGGGAUGGUGUGAAGAAUUAAAGGGCUGAUCUGUACUCGUGCCCUUGCUCAUGCCCUUCCCCGUGUCCCAAACCUACCUUCUCCAUAAUACUUUCCCUACCACUGUUAAAUGAAAGUGGCCAGCUCUUCUUGUUCAUAGGUAAUGGAUUUCCAGUGGCAAUAGGUUUCCAAAUUCAAGAUACCUGGGUCCUGCUUUGUCAAGUUACAUGCCUUUGUGAAUGCAGGCAUAUCAUUUACCUCCCUGGAAAUCAGGUUUUCUUACCUUUUAAAUGAGGGAACUGGAGCCCAGGACCUUUGGGGUUUCUGUCAGUGUAAAUAUUUGGAGAUGCUUCAAUUCUAAAGGCUUUUUUUGUUGGUAUCUUGCUCUUAGCCCUUUUCCUACCAGCCAUGAGCUUAGUCUCACUGUGGCCCUAGUCCUACAUGGGCUAAAACAAGCUGGACCUCAUCCCAUAAAUGUCUGCCAAAUGAACACCAUGCCUAGUGCCACUGGUUCUAGUUUUAAGAGUGCUCCCUCUAUUCCUAACCAGACUGUGAGCUUCCUGAGGUUAGGGAGCAGAGGGUGCCCAGCCUUAGAACCAGAGUUGGCUUAAAAAAGGACUCAGGGGCCUGGUCACUUCAGUGACCAUGUUGCUAAUAGUCAAUCAGCAGUAGAAUCAUCCAGUGAUCAUGCUGCUAAACAAGUAGAAAAUCAGCAAUAGUUACACUUCUAUAACCAUAUUUCCAAGUUAAAGACCAACCAGUCCUCAAACACUCCCGCUUCUGAAUUCUAGACAUUCUAUAAGGCUUUCCCUUGCUUAGCAAACAAUUCUGUUUGGUUUGAGACAUCAGGUGGUUGGUUAAGACACCAGGUGGCUAGUGAGACUGUCCUGGGAAGAACCUCCUUCCUACUAGGAUGAUGGCACCAUGAAGGUGGUGGACCAUCACAGUUAUUUCCUUUUCCUAGCAGAGUUCCUGACUCAUCAGAGGUGCUUGUGAAUAGCUCUUAGGUUUACUGUUUGCAGGUCUCUGACUUGGACUGCUACAAUGUUAGUUGGGGAAUAGCCAGGGGAAGCAGAGCCUUGCUCCUGAGAGAGCAUCAUGUACCUGGCCUCAGGGAUCUGAGCCAAGAGGUGAGAAAAGCUCUUAGAAUUUAGGCAGUGUUGCUUCUGGUGUUCACAAACCCUCUAUUCCUUGUGCCUAAAAUGCUCCAGAUCCAUUUUACCCAUCUGUACCUUCAUACCUCUUCAAGGUCUUUACGUUUCCACACAAAAGAGGGCUGAGAAAGGGUACAGAAAACAUGUUCUCUGAGAGGGACCUUGACACUGAUAGAAUCAGAGCUUCCAGAUAACCUGAGAGCCUGAAACACAGGUUGAUGUACCAAAACCAAAUUUGAAAACAUCAACAGAGAAUCCAUUCACUUUUCUUGGCCUCAGAUUCCUCCCCUGCACAAAGAGGACACUGGUCUAGCUCAGUGGUUUUUCAGCCUUACAUUUCAAGAAAUACUGAUGUCUACACUGUGGCUUCUGAGAUCCUGAUUUAAUUAUAAUUAGUCUGUAGUUGGACCUAGUAGGUAAUAUUUUUUGAAAGCUCCCAAGAGGAUUCCAGUAUGGUUGAGAUCCACUGAGACAAGUUGACAUAAAAGCAACCCUACCUCUGACAUUCUGUGACUCCUGUACUCCCACCUGUGUUGUUGGCACAAGGAUAGAGGACCAUUGUAUGAAAUACCCAGUUAGAGAGUUACAUUUUCCUGGUAGUAAAUAGGCAUUGUGGCUCCUGUUUAUUGAACUCAUAUUCUAUGCUUUGUGCUUUUAGUUCUGUUAAAUAUCUUUUAAUCAAAUACAUACAACAGCCCUCUGAGAUCAAUUUCAUGAUUGCCAUUUUUAGAGCUCAGAGAGGUGAUUUGAUCAUCACAAGGUCACACAGCUAGCAGAUCAGUGGCUGAGCUGGGAUUUGAACCCACAUCUAUCUGACUUCCAAGUCCAUGGUCUUUCCAAACUAGAAAGCUCAAACUAGUGGUCAUUUAGGUAGUUUUGUGGACAGUGUGCAGUUUGGGGGCCCCUUAGUACUUAACCUGGGUAGAAGAAGUCCUCUCUUCUGUUUUGGCCAGACAGCAUUCCUAGAGGUCCACUUGCUUACUUCCAAGUCUCUCUACUUGACCCAACUUUAGUGAGGUCAAGUAGAGAGACCCUUCUUCUCAAGUAGGCCAUUUGGCUUCUGUAUUAUUCUUUGUGCCCCCCUAUUUUAGAAAGAAUCCUGCUAAGUCAGCUUAGUGAGAUUUCUACAUUUGAGGUCUAACAAAUUCCUUGUUAUCCUUGGUAUAUGAUCACCUAGGUCUGCUUCAGCAAGAAUCUAUUAAACUGGAUUAGCCAGACUCCAUCCCUACCUUUGAUGUUUCCUCUUUGUAAUUUUCCAUCCAUUGCCUCCCAUCUCACAUCCUGCUUCUUGGAUAUAAAUUUCUACUUGUCCCUGCCAUAUUAGAAACUGAGCUCAGUUCUAAAGUUUAAGAUUUUUCUA